ensembl:ncRNA F08C6.14 ncRNA
GAAUUAUGUAAGAAUAAUUGUUACUGUUAACCCCCACCAGACGGUCUGGUCUAGUGGUUCAAUAAGCGGAUUCCGACAAUUUCCGAACAAAAAUUUUGACGUGAUGUCUUUUGUUGCGUGGCUUUCCGGACAAG